UAUUGAUAUUACUUUAAUAUCAAUAAUAUAAUAUUUUUAAAGGGUGAUUUUCAAUUGCAUCCAGUAUUGACACAACCUCAUAGAAGAAACCAAUAGAUGAGUUUUUUAAUUCAUCAACUAGCCAAAAAGUAUAAAGCUGUAUAUUACAAUAAAGAAACGUAUUAAUAUCUUAUUUAUACAGAUCGAAAUGGAAAUGAUAUUGAUGAACAAAUCGCGUUUAUGCCGACAGAUGUUGAUUCGAAAUGAUUCGCCAACAGCUAAUAUGGUGCUUGAGGAAUUUCCACGAUUUUUGGACACUCCAUCGUUGAUGCGUUGGUACUAAAACCUCUAAAGGCUCUUGUUUAUCUCUUGCCAACAAUGGGAAAAUAUCGUGCAAGUAUCGUGAAAAUAUCGUGUUUCAGCAAGUGCAGCAAUCAUUUUCCUAAUUGAAGAACUAAAGGAUGGCGAGACUCUUGAAAUGUUUUUUGAUUGCUCAAAUCCAAAACAGCAGCCUUUUGUCAUGUGGAUUGUCUUUUUUCGUUGUGUGUGAUAGAAAAGCAACUAUAGUUAAACCUCCGAAAGUUUCUGUUGCCUUUGACUGACUUUUCAAGUCUUUUUUUGUAUUUAAUCUUGAAUAUCCAAAGCAACUACAAGUUUUAUUUAAUUUUUUUCAAGAAUUAAUUUAUAAACUGCCUGGUUCUGUUGCCACCACUAAAGCACGUAAACUAUUCGAAGAGAUUUCUUAUAUGUAAUAUAUUCAGCUCGAAACAUUUUCGUCAAGAAACGCUAAAGCCUUAUGAUUCUGACAAACUUUAGACAGUAGUUUAGGACAUUUUAGUAAUUUAGCCUCUUCUUCUUCUUCUUUGAAAAAUUUUUUUAAUGAUAACGCUAAUGCAAAUAUUUUAUGUGAAACUAUAUAAAUUAAAAAAG